rnacentral:rRNA from 1 species
GACGAACGCUGGCGGCGUGCUUAACACAUGCAAGUCGAACGGAAAGGCCCUGCUUUUGUGGGGUGCUCGAGUGGCGAACGGGUGAGUAACACGUGAGUAACCUGCCCUUGACUUUGGGAUAACUUCAGGAAACUGGGGCUAAUACCGGAUAGGAGCUCCUGCUGCAUGGUGGGGGUUGGAAAGUUUCGGCGGUUGGGGAUGGACUCGCGGCUUAUCAGCUUGUUGGUGGGGUAGUGGCUUACCAAGGCAUUGACGGGUAGCCGGCCUGAGAGGGUGACCGGCCACAUUGGGACUGAGAUACGGCCCAGACUCCUACGGGAGGCAGCAGUGGGGAAUAUUGCACAAUGGGAGGAAGCCUGAUGCAGCAACGCCGCGUGCGGGAUGACGGCCUUCGGGUUGUAAACCGCUUUCGCCUGUGACGAAGCGUGAGUGACGGUAAUGGGUAAAGAAGCACCGGCUAACUACGUG